rnacentral:rRNA from 1 species
UACAGAGGGGGCAAGCGUUGUUCGGAAUUACUGGGCGUAAAGCGCGCGUAGGCGGCUUUGUAAGUUAGAGGUGAAAGCCCGGGGCUCAACCUGGAGACGCCACCUGAUACUGCUGUGGCUAGAGUCCGGUAGGGGAGCGUGGAAUUCCUGGUGUAGCGGUGAAAUGCGCAGAUAUCAGGAGGAACACCAGCGGCGAAGGCGGCGCUCUGGGCCGGAACUGACGCUGAGGAGCGAAAGCGUGGGUAGCAAACAGG